GGAAGAGGAAUAAAGACCACAGAGACUACAAACUGAUGGCUUUAAGGUGUUACCUCUGCCCAGGAAACUGACUCCGAAAUGAUUGCAGGCUGCUCUGCAAGGUCCCACGGCUCGUCCCUAGAAAAACACUGGAAGCAAAUCAGAAAACACUGUCUCAUGACUGUUUAAGAACUGGAAUAGUCUAUAUUCUCCUCAGACAAACAGACCUGGAAGAAUCCCAGAGAACAAUGGUGUUACCUUCAUAUGGGGGACCCUAGAGGAUGUCGUGGACUGAAGAAGACCUACUACACCCCCGGCCCUCAGAGAAGAAACUGAAGAUGCCUGUGCAGCCAUCUCAAUGGCCAAGGCCACCCAAGCAGCGGUUCACUGAAUUCCUAGACGUCUGGAAGCUCACGGACACCACACUGAGCACCUCUUGCAAUUGUAGAGGCAAAGGAACAUCUCUCAUCUAUCAGGAAGUGCUUUCAUCUUCAACCAAAGGAAAAGAUCACAUGAGGAGUGAUGGCAAAGCACGGCCAGGGGAGGAAUUUCACAUGACGUGCAGAUGCUGGAGGAUGACGACACAUACUGGAGCUCACAGGAAUCGUGAGGUCCAGCGCAUCACACCUGUCUCUACGUUGUGCUUUCUGGUUCCUAGAAACAAAUACGUGUCUUGUUGUGCUAAACUUCGUCUUUUUCAACUUUACACCAUGCAUCUUGGUUUCCCUUGUACAAAAUACUAUGGAUAUAAUUCGAAGUCGACUUACUUUACCUUGUUGCAGGAUUAAUUUUAAACACAGAAUUCACAUUUCUGUUUGGAGAGUCAAAUGAAAGUCUCAUGAUCAUCAUUAUACUAAUGCAUGAAUGCAGCUGUCCAAUAACCAAGCAGGUAUUUGUCUAGUUUCUAUUCCAUUUAUUAGACUGCAAGAAAAAGAAGCAUUAAUCUACCUCUAGUGAUAUUGACAAG
rnacentral:lncRNA from 1 species